UGAUGUUACAGCUCUUUUAGAAUUUGUCUAGCAGACUUUCUAGUAAAUACCGGAAAGCCCUC
ensembl:snRNA U7 U7 small nuclear RNA